GGGGCAAAUCCUCGAACGCGAACCUGAUCGCAUGUCACAGAAGCAACUUGCCAUGAAAUCCGCUAAUGCGCCGCGACUCGCCCACCAGGGAAGAGAAGAAAUGGAGCCCUUGCAGUUAAAUUAUUACUGGCUUCUACAGGGUUAAUUUGAUGCAAAUAAUCUACUCUCCUGUCAACAUUGAAGGAAAAGGUAGUGGCCUGUGGAACAACAGGAAGAGCCAGUCAGGUAGUGACAAAACUCUGCCUCUGGGUUCUGAAGAAGGUAUCGGAAGGCUCUGAACUUAGCUUUGGGUUUGUUGCACCGCAUUCCCUCUCUUAAAACAGUAACUCAAGAUGGCCGGGCACUUCCUCAGCAAAGCAUUGGAGGCCUUCAAGCCGGGCAUGGCGCACUGCUGUCCUGCCUACAUACAGAUACCGGCCCACACGUGUUAGGCCUGAAAAAGACACCGGACCGGGAGGAAAACUCAGGAACAGCUAUUCAGGAGCGCCUGGAGACUCUCCUGCCUGGACCCUUGGACCUUGGGAGCGGGCCGGCCCAGAGAACCUCAGAGAAGACAGUUCCCCUCCCCCUCUACUCCCCACCUUCCCCCUCCCCCCUCACAACAGCUGUGCUUUUGGGGCGCUCGGCUCCUGCCAGUCCACAGGUCCUACGUCCCUGCCCAGCAUUGGCGCGUUAGAGAUCAGUCUGUGUACUCCCAGCUUUUCCUCCUAACCCCACUCCCGAGCCCUGGGUCACCGCAUUUAUGCCACAAGACCCCGAAAAGCUCUCAUGCACAAAAACUAAAGGACUCUAACAUGAUCCCUCGAGUAUCGGGCUAGUUCAGGAAGGAGCAAGCCGAGCAGGGGUCUGGGGAAAAUACAACUGGACGCUUGGAGACUCCAUAAUCCUACGCCUGAACGGCUCUCAGGCCAAAGGGCAGGUGCACUUGCCCUGAGCCCCGGGUCCGAAACGCGGGGGCUGGUUCUUGUGCCAGCCAGAGGCGGAGGGAAGCAGAGGAGGUGGCCAAGAAGCGGAAGGCCGACAGGGUGGGAAGGGCAAGAAAAGAAGGUAAAGUAUCAGAAGUCCUCAGCCUUGGAAAUCAACACCUGCCCCUGGUUAAUUCGGCGUACUGUCCCCCAAAAGUGGAAGCAUCGAAAGAACAGCAUUUCUGGCAGUCUAAAGCCUGGAAAAUUCACCGCCCCGGAGGCGUGGGUAGGUUCCCUUUGUAAUAUUCUUCAACGAGGUAAAGUGACCAAGAAAGAAAACCCGUGA
rnacentral:lncRNA from 1 species